rnacentral:rRNA from 1 species
UGGGGAAUAUUGCACAAUGGGCGGAAGCCUGAUGCAGCAACGCCGCGUGAGGGAUGACGGCCUUCGGGUUGUAAACCUCUUUUAGCAGGGAAGAAGCGAGAGUGACGGUACCUGCAGAAAAAGCGCCGGCUAACUACGUGCCAGCAGCCGCGGUAAUACGUAGGGCGCAAGCGUUAUCCGGAAUUAUUGGGCGUAAAGAGCUCGUAGGCGGUUUGUCGCGUCUGCUGUGAAAUCCCGAGGCUCAACCUCGGGCCUGCAGUGGGUACGGGCAGACUAGAGUGCGGUAGGGGAGAUUGGAAUUCCUGGUGUAGCGGUGGAAUGCGCAGAUAUCAGGAGGAACACCGAUGGCGAAGGCAGAUCUCUGGGCCGUAACUGACGCUGAGGAGCGAAAGGGUGGGGAGCAAACAGGCUUAGAUACCCUGGUAGUCCACCCCGUAAACGUUGGGAACUAGUUGUGGGGACCAUUCCACGGUUUUCCGUGACGCAGCUAACGCAUUAAGUUCCCCGCCUGGGGAGUACGGCCGC